UACGAAGGGGGCUAGCGUUGUUCGGAUUUACUGGGCGUAAAGCGCACGUAGGCGGAUCGUUAAGUCGGGGGUGAAAUCCUGGAGCUCAACUCCAGAACUGCCUUCGAUACUGGCGAUCUCGAGUCCGGAAGAGGUGAGUGGAACUCCUAGUGUAGAGGUGAAAUUCGUAGAUAUUCGCAAGAACACCAGUGGCGAAGGCGGCUUACUGGUCCGGAACUGACGCUGAGGUGCGAAAGCGUGGGGAGCAAACAGG
rnacentral:rRNA from 1 species